rnacentral:misc_RNA from 1 species
GUAGGUGAACCUGCGGAAGGAUCAAUAUGGAGGUAGGGAGUGAAAUUUGUUGAAAGCGGUUUUAAACUAUUUACAAUCUACAACACACACACACAACUCAUAACAAUGGAUCUCUGGGCUCUU